rnacentral:lncRNA from 1 species
GUGGAGGAUGGGGAGGAGGACGGCACACAGAAUGAGUGUGAAGAUGACGACAUGGAAAACAACCACCUAUCAGAAAUGGACUCCAUCCUGCAAUAAAAGUCAGCGGGGAGAAAAAAAGAUUGUUGACUGGAAACUGUUUUAGUACCACAGACUCCACAGGAAGACACUUAAACCAUAGGGUGCCGUCAAAACCUGCAACACCGGCCACAGACGAGACGGACAGACUCACAGCUCCACUGUUAAGCAGAGAGGGGGAGCCGCUACCUUCAAACUGAGAACUCACAGAAAGCCACUACACCUCCAAAUGACACCACCAGACAAUUAAUACAGGAAUCAAGGACCUGUAAAAUUGUUCUAGAACUGUCCAAAACGAAC